rnacentral:rRNA from 1 species
GGCUCAGGAUGAACGCUAGCUACAGGCUUAACACAUGCAAGUCGAGGGGCAGCAUUUCAGUUUGCUUGCAAACUGGAGAUGGCGACCGGCGCACGGGUGAGUAACACGUAUCCAACCUGCCGAUAACUCGGGGAUAGCCUUUCGAAAGAAAGAUUAAUACCCGAUGGUAUAAUCAGACCGCAUGGUCUUGUUAUUAAAGAAUUUCGGUUAUCGAUGGGGAUGCGUUCCAUUAGGCAGUUGGUGAGGUAACGGCUCACCAAACCUUCGAUGGAUAGGGGUUCUGAGAGGAAGGUCCCCCACAUUGGAACUGAGACACGGUCCAAACUCCUACGGGAGGCAGCAGUGAGGAAUAUUGGUCAAUGGGCGCAGGCCUGAACCAGCCAAGUAGCGUGAAGGAUGACUGCCCUAUGGGUUGUAAACUUCUUUUAUAUGGGAAUAAAGUUUUCCACGUGUGGAAUUUUGUAUGUACCAUAUGAAUAAGGAUCGGCUAACUCCGUGCCAGCAGCCGCGGUAAUACGGAGGAUCCGAGCGUUAUCCGGAUUUAUUGGGUUUAAAGGGAGCGUAGGUGGACAGUUAAGUCAGUUGUGAAAGUUUGCGGCUCAACCGUAAAAUUGCAGUUGAUACUGGCUGUCUUGAGUACAGUAGAGGUGGGCGGAAUUCGUGGUGUAGCGGUGAAAUGCUUAGAUAUCACGAAGAACUCCGAUUGCGAAGGCAGCUCACUGGACUGCAACUGACACUGAUGCUCGAAAGUGUGGGUAUCAAACAGGAUUAGAUACCCUGGUAGUCCACACAGUAAACGAUGAAUACUCGCUGUUUGCGAUAUACAGUAAGCGGCCAAGCGAAAGCAUUAAGUAUUCCACCUGGGGAGUACGCCGGCAACGGUGAAACUCAAAGGAAUUGACGGGGGCCCGCACAAGCGGAGGAACAUGUGGUUUAAUUCGAUGAUACGCGAGGAACCUUACCCGGGCUUAAAUUGCAUUUGAAUAUAUUGGAAACAGUAUAGUCGUAAGACAAAUGUGAAGGUGCCGCAUGGUUGUCGUCAGCUCGUGCCGUGAGGUGUCGGCUUAAGUGCCAUAACGAGCGCAACCCUUAUCUUUAGUUACUAACAGGUCAUGCUGAGGACUCUAGAGAGACUGCCGUCGUAAGAUGUGAGGAAGGUGGGGAUGACGUCAAAUCAGCACGGCCCUUACGUCCGGGGCUACACACGUGUUACAAUGGGGGGUACAGAAGGCAGCUACCUGGUGACAGGAUGCUAAUCCCAAAAGCCUCUCUCAGUUCGGAUCGAAGUCUGCAACCCGACUUCGUGAAGCUGGAUUCGCUAGUAAUCGCGCAUCAGCCAUGGCGCGGUGAAUACGUUCCCGGGCCUUGUACACACCGCCCGUCAAGCCAUGAAAGCCGGGGGUACCUGAAGUACGUAACCGCAAGGAGCGUCCUAGGGUAAAACUGGUAAU